GACAGAGGUCCCGAGCGUUAGGCGGAAUCACUGGGCUUAAAGCGUGUGUAGGCGGAUCUGUAAGUACCUUGUGAAAUCCCACGGCUUAACCGUGGAACUGCUCGGUAUACUGCGGAUCUUGAGCCACCUAGGGGCAACCGGAACAAACGGUGGAGCGGUGAAAUGCGUAGAGAUGUGGAGGAACACCAGUGGCGAAGGCGACUCUUUGGCCUGUAACUGACACUGAGGCGCGAAAGCGUGGGGAGCAAACAGG
rnacentral:rRNA from 1 species